rnacentral:lncRNA from 1 species
AUCUACCACUUCUAGGAUUUCGAACCCAAUACCUGAGCAUGGAUAGUCAAACUUCAUGAUUGAGAAUGUAGAUCUAGAAGUCCUCUCUGGUCACUCAUAGCUGCAUAAGCAUCUGGCCUCUACGGAUGGUCUACACGAAGCCCCUCGAACCGAUUAGCCCUCUAUGGGAGUGCUAGCUCGCGCAGUCAACUUCUAAUGAUAGAGCCAAUUUGAUCUCCUUCUUCGAUUGUCUCAAAUCUUUCUGAUAUCGAAGAUGGAUCAGAGGAGGAUGCUGGAUGGUGGAGAAAAAAUCAGAUGAAGACUCUCUUCUCGAGAGGAGAACGGUCUCCUCUUUUGUUCACACCAAAGAAGAAUGAAACCAACCCAAAGUUCAUGUCCCAAAGAAGGAUUUUCUUCCCACUCUCUUUGAUCUCUCAUGGUAAAAAGCUCUCUUAGUUUGGCACACAAAAAUAUCACCUUUUUUAUGAUUGUUACACAAACCAGAUAAGACAUGAUAAGGGCUGGAGUUUGUUGCAAUUCAAACCAUUUUGAAUUUCAAUUUAACUCUAACUUUUUUUCACCCUUAUCUAACUUAAAGAGGGACUUAUCAAGAAAAAGUGAGAAUAAAAAUCAAUUGAAAAGAACUUUUUUUUU